rnacentral:rRNA from 1 species
UUUUCUACGGAGAGUUUGAUCCUGGCUCAGAACGAACGCUGGCGGCAUGGAUUAGGCAUGCAAGUCGAACGCGUGUAGCAAUAC